GAACGCUGGCGGCAUGCCUUACACAUGCAAGUCGAACGGUAACAGGUCUUCGGAUGCUGACGAGUGGCGAACGGGUGAGUAAUACAUCGGAACGUGCCCAGUAAUGGGGGAUAGCUCGGCGAAAGCCGGAUUAAUACCGCAUACGCCCUGAGGGGGAAAGUGGGGGAUCGCAAGACCUCACGUUAUUGGAGCGGCCGAUGGCUGAUUAGCUAGUUGGUAGGGUAAAGGCCUACCAAGGCGACGAUCAGUAGCUGGUCUGAGAGGACGAUCAGCCACACUGGGACUGAGACACGGCCCAGACUCCUACGGGAGGCAGCAGUGGGGAAUUUUGGACAAUGGGGGAAACCCUGAUCCAGCAAUGCCGCGUGUGCGAAGAAGGCCUUCGGGUUGUAAAGCACUUUUGUCAGGGAAGGGAUCCUUUGGGCUAAUACCCUAGGGGGAUGACGGUACCUGAAGAAUAAGCACCGGCUAACUACGUGCCAGCAGCCGCGGUAAUACGUAGGGUGCAAGCGUUAAUCGGAAUUACUGGGCGUAAAGCGUGCGCAGGCGGUUGUGUAAGACAGGUGUGAAAUCCCCGGGCUUAACCUGGGAAUUGCAUUUGUGACUGCACGACUAGAGUGUGUCAGAGGGGGGUGGAAUUCCACGUGUAGCAGUGAAAUGCGUAGAUAUGUGGAGGAACACCAAUGGCGAAGGCAGCCCCUGGGAUAACACUGACGCU
rnacentral:rRNA from 1 species